rnacentral:rRNA from 1 species
CCUACGGGAGACAGCAGUGGGGAAUAUUGCGCAAUGGGCGCAAGCCUGACCCAGCAACGCCGCGUGAAGGAAGAAGGCUUUCGGGUUGUAAACUUCUUUUCUCAGUGACGAAUCAAGUGACGGUACCUGAGGAAUAAGCCACGUCUAACUACGUGCCAGCAGCCGCGGUAAUACGUAGGUGGCAAGCGUUAUCCGGUUUUACUGGGUGUAAAGGGCGUGUAGGCGGGACUGCAAGUCAGAUGUGAAAACCAUGGGCUCAACCUAUGGCCUGCAUUUGAAACUGUAGAUCUGGAGUACUGGAGAGGCAAGUGGAAUUCCUGGUGUAGCGGGGAAAUGCGUAGAUAUUAGGAGGAACACCAGUGGCGAAGGCGGUCUGCUGGA